UACGUAGGGUGCAAGCAUUAAUCGGAUUUAUUGGGCGUAAAGGGCGCGUAGGCGGAAAUGCCAGUCAACUGUGAAAUCCCGGGGCUCAACCCCGGAACAGCAUUUGAAACUACAUUUCUAGAGGGUAGACGGAGAAACGGAAUUCCACAAGUAGCGGUAGAAAUGCGUAGAUAUGAUGGAACGAACACCAGUGGCGAAGGCGG
rnacentral:rRNA from 1 species